UACGAAGGGGGCUAGCGUUGCUCGGAAUCACUGGGCGUAAAGGGCGCGUAGGCGGCCGUUUAAGUCGGGGGUGAAAGCCUGUGGCUCAACCACAGAAUUGCCUUCGAUACUGGACGGCUUGAGUAUGGUAGAGGUUGGUGGAACUGCGAGUGUAGAGGUGAAAUUCGUAGAUAUUCGCAAGAACACCGGUGGCGAAGGCGGCCAACUGGACCAUUACUGACGCUGAGGCGCGAAAGCGUGGGGAGCAAACAGGAUUGAGAUACCCGAG
rnacentral:rRNA from 1 species